GAUGAACGCUAGCGGCAGGCUUAAUACAUGCAAGUCGAGGGGCAGCAUGAUUGUAGCAAUACAAUUGAUGGCGACCGGCAAACGGGUGCGGAACACGUACACAACCUUCCAACAAGUGGGGGAUAGCCCAGAGAAAUUUGGAUUAAUACCCCGUAACAUAGCGAUGUGGCAUCACAUUGCUAUUAUAGAUUUUUCGCUUGUUGAUGGGUGUGCGGCUGAUUAGGUAGUUGGCGGGGUAACGGCCCACCAAGUCUACGGUCAGUAGCUGAUGUGAGAGCAUGAGCAGCCACAGGGGCACAGGGACCCGGGCCCGACUCCUACGGGAGGCAGCAGUAAGGAAUAUUGGACAAUGGACGCAAGUCUGAUCCAGCCAUGCCGCGUGAAGGAUUAAGGUCCUCUGGAUUGUAAACUUCUUUUAUAAGGGACGAAAAAAGGCUUUUCUAAGUCGUCUGACGGUACCUUAUGAAUAAGCACCGGCUAACUCCGUGCCAGCAGCCGCCGCAAUAC
rnacentral:rRNA from 1 species